rnacentral:rRNA from 1 species
UGGGAGGCGUUGAGAAUACUCUUGCGGGAGUAUUGGAGCUAUCAGUGAGAUACCACUCUUCUAAUGUUAGAUUUCUAACUUUGAACCAUUAUCUGGUCAAAGAACAGUUUCAGGCGGGCAGUUUGACUGGGGCGGUCGCCUCCCAAAUGGUAACGGAGGCGUACAAAGGUUUCCUCUGAACGGGUAGAAAUCGUAUCUAGAGUGUAAAGGCAUAAGGAAGCUUGACUGUGAGACCUACAAGUCGAACAGGGACGAAAGUCAGUCUUAGUGAUCUGACGGUACUGAGUGGAAAGGCCGUCACUCAACGGA